GCUUGUCUCAAAGAUUAAGCCAUGCAUGUCUAAGUGUAAAUAAGUCUAUACUGUGAAACUGCGAAUGGCUCAUUAAAUCAGUUAUCGUUUAUUUGAUGAUCUCUUACUACUUGGAUAACCGUAGUAAUUCUAGAGCUAAUACAUGCACAAAAUCCCGACUUACGAAGGGAUGUAUUUAUUAGAUACAAACCAACAUCGUGGUGAUUCAUAAUAACUUUGCGAAUCGUAUGCCUCACGGCGACGAUGAAUCAUUCAAAUUUCUGACCUAUCAGCUUCCGACGGUAGGAUAUGGGCCUACCGUGGCAAUGACGGGUAGCGGAGAAUUAGGGUUCGAUUCCGGAGAGGGAGCCUGAGAAACGGCUACCACAUCUAAGGAAGGCAGCAGG
rnacentral:rRNA from 1 species